CUUAACACUACUGCCUCCUCACUUCAAUAUUCAUUUUGUCCCUCUUCUCUUUGGAUCAUCAACAUUGUGCCUGAGGGUACUCUAUAUUGCUUAGCAUCAGCUUUCAAGAGUGACAUUCUUUUUAAGGUAUGACUUAAACCUUGGAAGUUCUAAGAUGAUCAUACGAGUCGUAAGAUGUGACUCGUAUCCUAAUCAGUGAAGGAUUCAAGAAUCAAGCAUCAUAUUUGUAUAGCCUUAUAAGUUACUUGGACAAAUAUUAAGUCCUCAAAUUGCUCCUAGCUCAUGAACAAGUUGAAACAUCUCUUAGCUAUUAAGUUUCUAUAAGGAAUAUAACUGUAGUCAUCUUGAUGCGAGCAUAACAUUUGUUAUAUGAAUAAUUCAUGAGAUAAAAUACCCAACAACGUUUGAAUUAUCUUUCCAAUGAUAUCAAUUUUUCUUCAAUAGGAUAUCGAAUGAAAAGUUAUGGCCAAAUUACUAAAGCACUAUCAAAGCUAUAAGUGACACGACUCACUGAUACAACUCGUAAGCAGACCGUAUAAGUUAUCAGGAGGAGUCAUACCCAAAAUGAUAGGGGUUAAAAUUUUGGUUCUUGGGUAUGACUCAAGGUACGACCCGUACCCAAAACAUAUGAGUCAUACCCAAACUCGUCGGUAUAGCUUCCAAAUGACUUCCAUAAGGUUUCUAAGGGUUUUUUUUUGGGUCUUUUCUCCUCUUUAAACUCCAAACCUAUGACUUUAAAACAUACAAAUGAGUUAUUUCCUCACCUUUUUCUUAAAUCAACAACAUAUUCUCUCCUCCUAUCUUCAAGAACAUCAAUAUUAGGGUUCCUAACCUAAAAUUCAUCGUUCAAGUCCCAAGAUUCAAACUUUCGUUACAAGUCAAGAAAAUCAGGUAUGUAGGUAUUCAUUAGUGGGUCCCUUUCAUCCAUAGAGACCAAAAACCCUAUUUUUAUUUAAAAGUAUAAAUCUAUCCUUCUCUAUGAAAUCAUUUGUGAAUCUUAUUAAAUUAGUCCAUGAAUUUCUUGCUAAAUUAAUUACAAGCCAUGUCUAUAAGUGUUUCCAAGAGAAUUAAGCUUUUUUACGUUGAGUUAAAAUUUUCCAUAUCAUAUUCCAUUGAUUUCAUGUUAAAUUCCCACACUAUGAAUUUAGCCAUGUAAUCAUGUUAUUUUUCUCAUGUUUAACACAUUCCCAUAUUUCAAUUCAUGAAAUUCAUCAGAUUAAUGAAGCUCAUGUUUAGGCCCUAGAACUAUGAAGUUAUAUCUUUGUUUUAUCAUUAUUAUCGUAUUUAGAAAUCAUUCAGUGAUGGUGGGUUAUGAACACUCGAUACCUAUGUGUUUUACAUGUUUUUAUUUUCAAGUUACAAGUCAGUUAGACCAUGUUUUAUUAUUUCAUUCAGACUACCAUGUUUAUGUUGAGCAUCUAUUAUUACAACACCACAACAUGUUAGACAUAUAAUAAUACCAGUGUCAUUUAGUUGGGAGUAGGAUUUAGUAUCGAGCGAACCCAGGGAUGGCGCUCACGUACCACUAGAAGGUGUGACCUUUAGUAGCAGACCGUAAUUUGUAGAACUACGUACCCAAUAUAGGUAUGAGAGGUCUUCAUGCCAGUAGAGAGUGAAACACUCUUUUAGGGGAACCUGUCAGUAGUGGGUGACUCCCGUGUCCUUUAGGACACCAGUUUGGUGGAUCCACACAGUUAUGUAUUUGUACACGUGGAAAGGUACUGACAUCCUUCCAACUGAGUUACAAGUUCAACCCCGAUUAGCUUAGAUUGGGUCAUGUCGCUUACAUAAUAGCUUUCAUUCAGUACAUCAGUCUAUAUAAGUUUAGGUUUACUUGACCCAGUAAUUAGUUAUUUAGUUAUUUAAGAUCAUAUUAGUACAUGCUUUACUUGAUCUGGUAUUCUCAGUUUUAUGUGUUCAUGCAUCCAUAUUCAGUUACCAUAUGUAUUUCAGUUAAUCCUUACCUCACGUACUAGUACAUGCAAAGUACUAAUAACAUACUUUUCUUUUGCGCUAUUUUGUCUAAUAAAAUAGGUUUGGACACAAAGUUUCCCUACCAUCCAUAGACAGCUCAAUAGUUUCACCAUAGUGGCAGUGGAGAGUCCUCAUCCACCGAUGACAUGACAUGAUAUUUUAGUUAUUUUAUUAUUUCUUUAUGUUCAGUCAGUUGGAGUUCAUUGGGGGUUUGUCCCAUCAAAUCCUUACAUUUUAGAGGCUUCUAGACAGACAAUCUAGUUUUUAGUAUUUUUCAAAUAUUCUAGAAAUGUCAUUUUAUGUAUUUUAUUAUUUCAAACUGACAGUACCUUAUUAGUUUAUAUUCUGCACAUGUUAUAUUACUAUAAUUUUAUUCAAUGCUUAUAGCAAGUACCAGAUCAUGGUUUAUCUUGGGGUUAAAUGCAUCCUUAAGCACCGUGUCAUGACUAGGGGGUAGCCUUGGGUCGUGACAAAAAUAAUUCUCAGAGCCUAAGGUUUUAAAGUGUCCUAGGAUGUUUGAAAGCCGCAUUGAGAAGAGUCUUGUACAUGGGUUUGAAGCGCGCCACACUUAUCGACAAAAGGAUAAGAGAAGUUUUUAGGAAAGUUUUUCUUCUUACAGUAUUCAUGUCGUGCGAAAGACAUGAGAUCUAUUGAAUUCCAUUUUCUAACUUGGCCUUCAUUCCAUUUACAAAAAAUACCUCCCAGAAGAAAUAACGGAAGAAGGAACCAC